GUGGGGAAUAUUGGGCAAUGGGCGAAAGCCUGACCCAGCAACGCCGCGUGAGGGAAGAAGGCCUUCGGGUUGUAAACCUCUGUCCUUGGUGACGAAAAAAAUGACGGUAGCCAAGGAGGAAGCCCCGGCUAACUACGUGCCAGCAGCCGCGGUAAUACGUAGGGGGCGAGCGUUGUCCGGAAUUACUGGGCGUAAAGGGUGCGUAGGUGGCCUUUUAAGUUGGAUGUGAAAUACCCGGGCUUAACUUGGGGGGUGCAUCUAAUACUGGAGGGCUAGAGUGCAGGAGAGGGAAGCGGAAUUCCAAGUGUAGCGGUGAAAUGCGUAGAGAUUUGGAGGAACACCAGUGGCGAAGGCGGCUUUCUGGACGAAAACUGACGCUGAGGCGCGAAAGCCAGGGGAGCGAACGGGAUUAGAAACCCGAGUAGUCC
rnacentral:rRNA from 1 species